ACACAUGUUUUUAAUCGCACUAAUUAAAUAUUUAAUCCGACUCUCAGUUUGCGUCCUGGGGAGUGACCCAAGCCCAACAUUCGAAAGACGUUGCCAGGAAAAGGUCCCUGAAUGCGACAAAGGCCUGUAAAGAACUGGAUUGUAUGGAUGAAGCUUUGAGAAUGUGUAGCCGGAAAAAACCAAAACGAUGCACACACCUUUACAUAACAGACUCGCAGGGAAUUCACUGAUUAUUUUACAACCCGAUAGUGAAGUUCACAUCCCUGAUAAGAAUCAGUGAGACUGGAGAGCUCAGUGGGUUUCUGAGACCAGACCCAGUCAGUCCAUGCUAUCAGAUCUAGGCUGUCUUUGUCCACUAAUCCAACAUCCUGGUUUUUCAUGAUGACCGUGGCACAAUGGGAGGCUCAGCUCUGCAGGUCAGCAUGUUCAUGUGUAGGGCCUGGAGAACACAAAGAUAAAUACUUAUUCGAAUCCUGGAUAGGCGUUUUCUACAGAGAAUAACAUCUUAUCCAAGAAUUAAAUUCUUCUCCUGGGUGAUGAACUUGACUAUCCAGGAAAGCCUCAGAGUAAAACUGCAGCUGCUCCGAAUCAAGAUGUGCUCAAUUCUUUUGAGGUGGGUGAGCAUGUUAAAAAGACACCACUGCUCAGCUCCUGGCUCCCACUGGAUGGAGAACCCAUGGCAGAUCCAGGACCCACCAGAGAGAUUAUAUCACACAGUUGUUGGGGUUUUUUUGGUGGUGGUGGUGGGGGGGAGGGGGGGACAUCUGGGGGUCCCUACAGAUAGGCUGGACUUUGUGUCUGGGCAUAGAGAAGUCUCAAUGGAGCAAAUAUACAAUGUCAUACAGAGUUACCUGUGCUAAUACAGUACCAGUUCUCUCUUAACCCCAUUUAAGGAGUUUCAUUCCCAUGAAGUGGAACAAUGCUUUUCCAGCCAAGUGGUAGAGUUCCUGGCUAAGGGAAACUCCCCAUGAUAACCCCACUUGCGCUCCUUGCUUCCAGGAAGAGCUCCGGCUCAUCUGGCUUUGGCUGUACAGAUUUAUGCCUGUCCUCCUGAUCGUGUGAUAGAGGGUUUUUUUUUGUUGCAAAGGCAGUGAAGUUGCUUCGUGGAAUAACGGCAACAUUUCUUGGAAGGUGCAGCCUCCUCUUGCUGCAUUGGAUAUUUGCCCGCGCGUGUGUUUUUACACGGCCAGGGUGUGUCGGUCUAAGUGGAAGCCAUGCUCUCUGGCGGCUGCCUUUAUAAAUAGUCCAGCUUACCUCUUGUCCAUGUUUAUCUCUUUCGUUGCCUUUAUCCAUCUGGUGGAGGCUUGCAUGGUCGGAGGAUUUAUGUGCUUCUUGGGUAUUAUGGGUUCUCUACUGGAGCUCUGGCACCAUGUAGGCUUUCCCCAGCAGACGAGGAAUCCCUGAUUAGAAUGCCUUUGAGCUUGAGGCUAGUUCGCCCCUGCUUCUUUAGUCUCCCUCACAUGUCUAAUUAAAGAUUUGACGUGUCUGCAAAAGCUCCACUGUUUACAGACGAUCCACGAUUUUCCGCGGCGUAUCGAGCACCCUCUGAUUUUGUUUUACGGAUGACAUGGUAGCCAAAUGAGAGACGAGUUCUUGUACAUCUGGCUCGCAGUGAGCGUUUAUAUUUGAACCUAAAAUUCUCAGUGUGACUCGUGAAGCUGUGUGGGUGUCUGGACAAAGUUUGUCAGACACUUGUUCACAAAUCUCAGAAACAUUUUCACUUGUCCUACUGCCAGCCAUGCUUUCCCCUCACACAUAUUUCUCAUCGUUGACUGCAUACCCGCGUGAGAUUUGUGAGAUACUUGUGUGUCUUUCAGAAUGUGUGUGUGCGCUGACCCUGUCUGGAUUGUUUAAGCCACUGGCCUUGCAGGACCCCAUGAAGCGCUUCCUGGCCGAGGAGUUGUGGAUCUUGUUUUUUCCUCUCCUCUUACGUCUUUUUCCACCUUCCUGCACUCGUCACCUGUCCUACACAGACUUCUAUCUUCCUGAUGUCACGAUGUAAUAAAUUUAAACAGCCCCAUUCCCACACACAUUCUUCAAUCAAUAGUGCAGCAAUAGCUUCCUUUGUCAGAGUUCCACCGCAGGUCUAUGAUUCAAUGAAUGCUUGUUCUUAUUUUUACUUUCCUGAGUUAUACAAACAGCAAUCGUGUGUGUGUUUCCUCUCCAUCUGUCUUCUGGCCAUGAUCAGAUACCAACUGCUGUCACUUCACUUUUGUUUUUUUUGUUUGUUUUUUUUAAAAGACAGAUCUGGUAGACAGUUUUCUAUUCGUACAUUGACGGGGUCUACCUCCUAGAAGAAAUAAAUAAGAAAACUUGCACCAUUCUUCGAUUUGUACGUCACCGGUCGAAUCAGAUCCGUCAAUUUGCGAUAGCCGCAGAAAGGACUUCGUGGGCUGUGUUCUAUUUCUGGGCUGGUUCUUCAUACCUUCUGGGAGGAAUAAAUCAGAGAUCCAGGGAGGAAUACGUCAGAGAUCUUGCACCAUUCUUCGAUUUGGACACGGCUGUUUUCAUCAGAUCCAUCAAUUUGGGGAAUCCCACAACAAGGACUUGGUGGACUGUGUUCUAUUACCAGGGUGGUUCUGUAUAAUGUCUGGGAGGGAUGUGUCAGAGAUCCAGGCCCAACACCUCUUCUUGGUUAAAGCUCGUUUUUCCCCCAACGCUACAAACUAAUCCUAAUCGAUCCCAAACAAAGCAUCUACAAAUGGAAAUCAGAUCCAGAGGGUGCGUGAAUUUCUUUAGGACGUUCAGCUGAGAUGUUCCUCGAAGCUGUCUGAUAAGGGUGUUCAAAGUAGAAUUAGACCAACAGUAGAGGGCAACUCUUUGAAAGUCAGCAGGCGGGAAUUACCUCAGCUCUGUGCUAUGGCGUCGACGUGGCCACACAGUAGAUCUGAUCCUGUGUUAAUGUUGCAGGGCUUAGAGGUCAGUUUAACUUGGCAAAUCAGUUCAUCUAAGAACAAUAUGGAUUCCCAGUCCAGUCUGCAGUCUUGUAUAAAAACAGUCAAGGGACCUUGACCUCACAAACCAACACGUACAUUCCCAAACUAUCUCCAGUUCCAUGCCCCAUGUUGUUUCUUCCCCCGAGUUAUUCCGGUUAUGAUCUGAUAAUCUUGAUUACUAAAAAAGAUUCUAAGCUUUCCUCGAAUAGAGGAAAGGUCGGUAAACCUGUUCGAUUUGCAUCGACUGUCAGUCACAGUGCCGGGAAAGCCGAUUCACGUACUUAAGUAUUUUACACGUUAAAGCAAGGCCACCUACUCGAAAUCUAAUAUACAUUAUAUGGCCAAAUGUAUGUGGACAGCUUGACCAUCACCAUCAGUUGUGCUUGUUGAACAUUCCCUUUCAGUAAACAAGAGCAUUAAUAUGGAGUCGGUCCAAGUAAGGGAAAUUGAAAUGCUACAGCAUACGAAGACGUUCUAGACAAUUGUGUGCUUCCAACGUUGUGGCAGUAGUUUAGGGAAGAACCACAGGUGGGUGUGAUGGUCAGGUGUCCACAUACUUUUGGCUAUGUAGCGUGUAUAUAUAGAACUUAAGCGUCUAAAGCCGAGGCAUUCAACUAGGAUUGAUCCAUUGUGGGUAUGCCAGGGUAAACCUUUAUUCGAAAGAACUUUUUGUUACGUUACAUUUAUUAAAAUGCUUAAAUGUUUAACGUUAACGAUGACCAAGAAUUUUAGAUCGAUUUUCAAACCUUGGCCUAGUUCCGUCCACGAUGUUUAGAGUAAAGUUCAAAUACUAUCAGUCGUAAUGUAUAAUAUACUACGUUAAAAGGCCCUUAGAUGAUUAUUUUUCCACUUUUUCAUCCAUUUAACGUUCAUCAUCCAUUUCUAUUCCUCUUCCGCUUGCCAGAGUUCCACCAGCUGUUAUUGAGUAUUCGCCUGUAUUUGUGUUCUUUGACAGUUUGGAAAGGAGUGAUUUAAGCCAAACUGAUUACUUUUUAUAGCGGAGGAGAGCAUAAAACCUCGGACUGCAAUGGACUGUGCAAAAUUUAUAACCCGAGAGAAGUCUCAGCAGUUUUUCAUUUGCACCCAGUUGUGUAUUUUUCUUUUUUUUUUCUUUUUUGCUUCAACUCUCUUGCUCCCUGUGUCUUUAUUUCAGCUAACCCACACCCUCCUUCCUUUCCGCCCAUCCAUCUGUGAGCUGGAGCGAGCCUCCAUUUGGC
ensembl:lncRNA